rnacentral:rRNA from 1 species
CAGGCCGCCGCGGUAAUACGAAGGGGGCUAGCGUUGCUCGGAAUGACUGGGCGUAAAGGGCGCGUAGGCGGAUUGUUUAGUUAGGCGUGAAAUUCCUGGGCUUAACCUGGGGACUGCGCUUAAUACAGGCAGUCUAGAGUGAGGAAGAGGGUUGUGGAAUUCCCAGUGUAGAGGUGAAAUUCGUAGAUAUUGGGAAGAACACCGGUGGCGAAGGCGGCAACCUGGUCCUUGACUGACGCUGAGGCGCGAAAGCGUGGGGAGCAAACAGGAUUAGAUACCCCAGUAGUCCCUGUCUCUUAUA